GUCACAGUAGCUUAAUGGAAAAGCACCUUUCUUCUAAAAAGGCUUAUGUAGGUUCGAAUCCUAUCUGUGACG
rnacentral:tRNA from 1 species